GCGGGUAUAGCUCAGUUGGGAGAGGUAAGUCCUCUUCUUCCAUAACUGCCAGCAAAUACUUAUCAUACGCACAGCGUAUGACUGAAGAUCAUAAGGUCGUGCGUUCGAUCCGCACUAGCCGCA
rnacentral:tRNA from 1 species